AUUGAACGCUGGCGGCAGGCCUAACACAUGCAAGUCGAGCGGCAGCGGGAAAGUAGCUUGCUACUUUUGCCGGCGAGCGGCGGACGGGUGAGUAAUGCCUGGGGAUCUGCCCAGUCGAGGGGGAUAACAGUUGGAAACGACUGCUAAUACCGCAUACGCCCUACGGGGGAAAGGAGGGGACCUUCGGGCCUUUCGCGAUUGGAUGAACCCGGGUGGGAUUAGCUAGUUGGUGGGGUAAUGGCUCAGCAAGGCGACGAUCCCUAGCUGGUCUGAGAGGAUGAUCAGCCACACUGGAACUGAGACACGGUCCAGACUCCUACGGGAGGCAGCAGUGGGGAAUAUUGCACAAUGGGGGAAACCCUGAUGCAGCCAUGCCGCGUGUGUGAAGAAGGCCUUCGGGUUGUAAAGCACUUUCAGCGAGGAGGAAAGGUUGGCGCCUAAUACGUGUCAACUGUGACGUUACUCGCAGAAGAAGCACCGGCUAACUCCGUGCCAGCAGCCGCGGUAA
rnacentral:rRNA from 1 species